UCUGAAGAUGCCUGUGCUCUGGACUAGCAGAUAAUAACUUGCCUUAUUCCAGAUGUGUACAGUGGGAGCCUACUGAGGACAGCACUGGCCAUGGAGACCUUUCCCAAAU
rnacentral:lncRNA from 1 species